CUGAAUGCUGCAGAUAGAGGACAUGUGUGUCCCUGCAGCAGAUAGAUAGAGGACAUGUCUGCCCCUUGCAGCAGGUAGAGGACAUGUCUCUGCAGCAAGUUCUUUCAGGUAGUACCAUGCUAAGGGGAAACGAACUUAAGUGUGAGCUGCCUGACCUUACUGAUAGUUGAGGAACGUGUCAGACAUGUGUAUCUGACACAUGAUGGAAGCUGUGCUUGCCUGGCGAAGUAAUUGUAAGUAUUGCAACAAAUCGAAUAUGUUUAUCUCACCCCCAAAGCUGGGAUUGUUGCAAAUGAUGGUGUAAGGACCCUAGACAUUAAAAAAGAAGAAGAAAAAGAAACAACCUCUGUCUUUGCCGGUGGUGGCAGUCGCACACCUUUAAUUUCAACUGUUGGGAGAUGGAGGCACUGUGAAUUGGAAGCUGGUCUGGCCUACAGAGCUACUUCCAGACUUGCCCACGCUAUAGAGUGAGACUGCGUCUCAAAAUCAACAACAAGAACAACAGAAAUAAUAACUCAACAGUUCAAUGCAGAAGUAAUUACAGAAUGAAAAGCCACCAAAGGGAGCUGGAUGGCUGGAGACAUGUGCAAGAUCCAGGCAGAGCCCACAUAAAGCAGAUGCUGUGCACUGCGCCAGAGGAGUGGGUCUCAGCACACAGACGUAGGCUUUGACAGUGUUCAUUCCUCCACACUCUGCACACGAGGGCACAGCUACAGACUGGCUCCACAAAACCAGUCUCCAUUGCUUUGCACUUGCUAGUGAUUCUGACUGCAUUAAAUUAUCUCUUCAAGGGAAGACUCCUCUCCCAAUGAGUGACGAAAGCUGGACUUUAGUCUUUGUGCAAUCAAAUCCACAAUAGGUAAAAACGGGCCAAAGUCUAGAUGACUCUCCGUUUUACUCUCACAACUUUUCCAUAAAUUCAGAUCUAUAAUAAAACUAAAAUCUGAAAAUAGAUGGAAUCCUUUAUAUUUCAGCCCAUGAAGAAUCCUGGAUGUAUAAAACAGACAUAUCACCUGGAUUAAGUCUGUUUUCCUUUUAUUUAAGUCACUUGUGAGCAGGAAAAGGCAGAACAGAGUGAAGGAGGGAAGCCUUUUGGACAAGAAACUAACAUGCAGGAUCCAAAGUCAAAUCUCAUCCCCAGGGGGAGAGGGGCCAGUCCCUCCUGACAAGACAAGUUCUAAGACACAAGGAAGACAGAAGUAGCAGCAGCCUGAAUUAUGUUCAAGGAAAAGUGAGCCUAAGUCCUACGUCUAAAGAGAGAGAGACUAGAUACAGAAUUUUCUAGACAGGAACCAAGGGUGGAAUUUAAAGAGGAAGACAGGCAACUCACUGGUGUAAAUGCAGUGUGUUUCAAUAAUAACUAUUUAUGACUUCCUGAACUUGUAUGGUAAGCUGCCCACCACCACACACAACUGUAAAUCCAUCUGUUUGUGAUGCCCUCCCAUCAGAGAGGUGGCUGUCAGAUCUUAAGACUAAGUAAUUCUCCAUGAGCGAACACUGGUAGCAGAAUUGAGAGUAGACCAGCUACUCAGUGUUCUUUGUACUCUCUCGUAAAUUAACACUUGAAAUGCACCCCCAGAGAGGGGAAUCUAAGCCUUCC
rnacentral:lncRNA from 1 species